rnacentral:rRNA from 1 species
UACGGAGGUCUCAAGCGUUGUUCGGAUUCAUUGGGCGUAAAGGGUGCGUAGGUGGCUGCGUAAGUCGGGUGUGAAAUCCCGGGGCUCAACCCCGGAACUGCACUCGAUACUGCGUGGCUUGAGUACUGGAGAGGAGAUUGGAAUUUACGGUGUAGCAGUGAAAUGCGUAGAUAUCGUAAGGAAGACCAGUGGCGAAGGCGGAUCUCUGGACAGUUACUGACACUGAGGCACGAAGGCCAGGGGAGCAAACGGG